GUCAUGACAGAUGGAUCUGAUGACGACUUGGAUUUUCUUGAAGAUGCCAACUCAAUACUUCCUGAUCAACCACAUGAAACUGAAGCAUACUCUACACUGAGAAAAAAAAACCUCAAAAAUUGUUGUGAAAGCACAACAACCUAGAGGCGAAAUCCUAUCCUGUCGCUUUUUGUUGUGCUGCAACAAAAAUUGUUCUAUCGUUAAACAAAAUUUGUUGUGAUACAACAAAUUUUAUUGUAUCGUUGAACAAAUUUUAUUUAGCUGCACAACAAUUUUUACCAUCCAAUAAUAUUUGUUGUGUUGCUUAAUAAUAUUUGUUCGGCUGCUCAAUAAAUAUUGUCCAGUUUCAAGGCAAAUAUUACCGUGCUGCACAACAAUUUGAUUUUCGGGUGUUAUCGGUAAGACUCGGUCUUGUUCGUGUGCCUCGGGAUAUCUACAUGGCAUUGUGUGGAAUUUUCUAAGUCAGUCUAAGUUAAGAUCAGCUUUUGUGUGACUGACGUUUUAAAAAUAAAUUAAUUAAUCCCAAGAUGUCAAGUUUUAAUAACAUUUUAAUCAUCGAAUUAUAGACUAAAAUUUUUGUGAGCAACUAGAUAAAUAACCAAACUUGAUAUUUAACAAAUCACAUCAACAAUAAAGUAUGAAAUUAUAUGAAAAUGACAAACAUAACCUGCAUCUGUCAUUUUAAUGCAGAGAUUUUUUAUUUUAAUUUUUAAUAAUUAUAAAUAUGAAAAAUAAAUCCUUCCUUAAUUGUUUUCCUUCUUCUUUUUAAUUAUCAUAAUGAAAAUUUAUUUCGUAAUUUUGAAAAAAAAAAAAUUUAAUAUGGUUUUAGAUUUUUUGUUAUGUGGAAUAAUAAAAAUUAUUAAACUAAAUACAAAAAUUGUUGUAUGUUCAACAGUUUUUGUUUAGAGCAUAACAAAUUUUGUUGUAUGUCUAUUAAUUUUUGUUUGGAGCAUGACAAAUUUUGUUAAACAGUACGGUAAUUAUUACUCUGCCAGAUUGUGCCAGAUGAACAAAAACUGUACUACCGGCAGAACAAAUAUUAUAGAGUUUCAACUUCGCCUCUACUUUGUUGUGCGGCACGACAAUUUUUGUCCUGUUUUCUCAACAAUAUUUGUCGUUUUUUUUUCUCCGUGUAUUUUAGAGGAUAAGAACGAAAGUGAUUCAGACGAGGGUAAAUCUCGUGAGCAAGAAAGUUCGCUGGAUAACAGCCUGGAUUCAUCACUUAUUGCAUCGACUCACAAAGGAAAAAUGAUAGAUUUAGGCGAUACUGGCUAUAUAGUUGCGUAGAAGCUAUUCAUUAUUCUGCCAUAAGCAACGGUGAGAAGAAAGAAACCAUUCUGGCUCGCCGAUUAUUAGAUGGAGUUAUCAAACCAGAGGUCAUAGCUAAAUCUACACUUUCGGGAAGAUCUGCACGUGCUCAAGGGCCAGAACGACAAAGAAAAUCAGUUACCAUAUUACAUCCUGGAGCAGUUGCUGCAAUUAAACAAUUUGCUCGCUCUUGGGCACUCAAGUACAAGGGCCUCGAGUGGAAAAAUUUUCAGGAUGCCCUAUUUGACCUGAGAACCUGAUAGGAAACGGAUCAGGAUUCCUUAUUCAGGAAACCUGACUCAUUUCUGGCUCAAAUCUGGUCAGAAUACCUGAAGAUUUCCUGAAGUCAG